rnacentral:ncRNA from 1 species
UAAUUGUUUGUACCGAACCUUUUCCGAAUGACUGUGUACCAAGAACUGUCGCACGACGAUGAUCCUGCAAAGCACCAGCGACAAUUUCGGAAGCACUGGCCGAGCCACCAUUAAUCAGAACAAUCAACGGCUUGCCAUUAGAAAUAUCGCCCGGCUUUGCGUCAAAACGCAUGACUUCUGCCUGAUCGCGCCCACGCGUUGAAACAAUUUCACCUUUAUCAAGGAAUGCGUCGGAUACACUGACAGCCUGAUCCAGCAAUCCGCCCGGAUU